AUAUUAUUGUAAUUCAAUGAUGCAUAAUCUCACUGUGAUUAUAUUAUUAUCAUAUGGUUACUAUGGAUUGCAGUGCUUUCAAAUUUAUUUUAAAUUAAUCAUAAAAGGCAUUGGGCCAUCAGUAUUUAAUGGUUGAUACCUAUUUCUUUACUGCCCACAAGGGGCUAAACACAGAGAGGACAAACAAGGACAGACACACGGAUUAAGUCAAUUGUAUCAACCCCAGUGCAUAACUGGUACUUAUUUAAUCGACCCCGAAAGGAUGAAAGGCAAAGUCGACCUCGGUGGAAUUUGAACUCAGAACGUAGAGGCAGACGAAAUACCGAUCAGCAUUUCACCCGGCGUGCUAACGUUUCUGCCAGCUUGCCGCCUUAUUAUCUAGCAGAGUCAUUAAAGUGUUGGCUAAAUUGCUGUGUGAUUGCCCUGCUUCUCUGCAUUCAGAGUUCAAAUCCUACCACAGUCAAUUUUGCCUUCAUCAUUUUGGGGUUAAUAAGAUUUGUACAGAAGCUGGUUUUUCUCUCUCAUUCUCUGUCUGUAUGUCUCGCUUUCUGAAAAAAAAAUCGCCUGUGAUAGACUUUGUGUUGAAUGGGCUCUGAAAGGUCUAAAAAUGUCUAUGACAUACUACAUGUCAUGCCAUACCUCUUCCACUCCAUCAAGUAACCUAUUUGCGAACAAAAUAUAGCAAGCUUUUUAAUGGUUCCCAUCCUCAGUUAAAACAUGCUUGAAAUUAAAAUGGAGUUAACAUUCGAGGUUCCUUAAUGAAUUAAAAAUUCCAUUUUCUUUUUUUCUUUGAGUUCUUGUUUGUUUUCUUUUUUCUCUUCUGCCUAUUCCUCCACCUUUCUAAAUGUCUAAUUUUAUGCUAAUGUUGAUCUAAUUCCUCAUCUAUUUACAAAUUAUUGACUUGUUCUUUUUAUAAGUGAAACAUAUACCAAAACCUAUCCUUUAAAAAAUUAACAGGAUCAAGAUAUGACAUAUACUAUAUCUUUGACAAAAUGUUUACUUUAGAGUCUAUCCAAAUUCAUUCUCAUUUUAAUUUUCAUAUCAAAAUAUUCAAACUUUUUGAAUUACAUAAAACAAAAGAGAUAAAGAUGAAACUGAACUCCUGAGAAAUAGUCUAUCACCUCUCUCACUUUCCUAACUUUUGCAACCACCAAAAGUUGACCAUUCUAAUUUAUGAUAUUUAUUGAAAUACUUCUUAGUUUCAACUGCGUUAACAGUCCAAGAUUCAUAAUAGCUUACUUCUUUUACAUUUAAGUUCACUUUCCACAGGCAUGCCCGACAAAGUAUGUAUUUCCACAUACUUUGUUAGUUCAGAAUAUUUGUGAUUGGUAUAAAGGCUGUAGAUAGAAUUAGAACUUCUAUUCUUUCCCUUCUUCAAGUGGUCACAACAAAGAAGCAUUUCACAAUGUUGCACCAGGAAUCCCUGUUCCUUAUUGGAUUUGUCAGAUCCUCAAUGUCAUGUUGUUUAUUUCUGCCAAUAACAUCAUUAUAGCUGAGUGAUCUUCAUUUUCUGUUUGGAUUCAAAUGGCUUUAAAAUAUAACAUCCAAAGCAGGCGCAGGAGUGGCUGUGUGGUAAGUAGCUUGGUAACCAACCACAUGGUUCCGGGUUCAGUCCCACUGCGCGGCAUCUUGGGCAAGUGUCUUCUGCUAUAGCCCCGGGUCGACGGAAACUGAAAGAAGCCGUCGUAUAUAUGUAUAUAUAUAUGUGUGCAUGUAUGUUUGUGUGUCUGUAUUUGUCCCUCUAGCAUUGCUUGACAACCGAUGCUGGUGUGUUUACGUCCCCGUCACUUAGCGGUUCGGCAAAAAAGACCGAUAGAAUAAGUACUGGGCUUACAAAGAAUAAGUCUCGGGGUCGAUUUGCUCGACUAAAGGCGGUGCUCCAGCAUGGCUGCAGUCAAAUGACUGAAACAAGUAAAAGAGUAAAGAGUAAAUAUGGCUUGUUGUUCUUCAAGAAAUCAGUGUCCUGCAAAUCUUACCCUGUGUUAAGCAAUAUUAGUAGGCAUGAAUGGAAUAUGUCGAUAAAUAAAGAGAAGUCUGGUGUGUGUACCAUCAAGGCAAUCUUAAACCUUCUUCUUCAUUAUCUAUGUUUCAGCUGCAUUGAGAAUGAGGUUCUCUACAUAUGGGCUGAAGAAGGCAAGCCUUGUUGACUUUGAAAUACUUGAUUGUGAGAUGUUUUGAAGCUUGCUAGGCUUUGCUAUCAAAUAGUAGCAAUCAAGAUGUCAGCAGAACAUUUAUCUCUGAUCUUAACCCUGCUCUCACAGCUCAUAAACAAUGCAAUGUGUAAGAUUUGUUAACAUCUCUAGAGAAUGCUGCAACCAAAGUCAGUCUUUUCCUCAAUGCAAAGAAGGCUGAAUUCAAAGCCACCUACCAAUUUGUUUUAAAGAGGGCACAUAACUCAAAGAGAAAAUAUAUUAUAAACAUUUUUUUCAAUAUUUAUACCAUUAACAUUGUAAUACAAUGUACAAGUAGAAAAUGGUAAGCUGGCAGAAACAUUAGAACACCGGGCAAAAUCCUCAGCAGUAUUUUGUCUGUCUUUACAUUCCGAGUUCAAAUUCCGUAGAGGUCAGCUUUGCCUUUCAUUCUUUCAGGAUCGAUAAAUUAAAUACGAGUUGCGUACUGGAGUCGAUCUAAUUGACUGGCCCCCUUCCCCAAAAUUUCGGGCCUUGUGCCUUGAGUAGAAAAGAAUAUUAGGCACAGGUAGCACAAUGUCAUGUCAGAUUUCUUAAUGACCCUAAUUAACAUUCUUAAUUGUCUGUUAACAUAAAUGCACAAUUUCCUCAUUUACCUCACUAUCCCAUGAUUAUCUCAGUUGUCAAUUCUAUGUCAGAAAAGCAUUCUAUUCUGAUAUGGAUUUUUAUUUAACAAAAUAUUUUUUAUGUAAAUUUUACUUCAUGGAACAUAUUCUUGCCUCUCGAUGUUUCUGUUAUGAAUGGUAAUCACUAUUGUUUAAACAUGUUUGACUAUUCCCUUGGAAUACAAAAGAAAAAAUGAGAGAGAAAGAAAUUACAUUAGAAAAUCCUUUUAUAGCUAAUUGCUUAUAUUUCCAAUUUUGUUUUACUUGGAUUUUCUUUCACUGUUCAAAACUGUAUGAAAUUCAUGUUAAUGCAAUCUGCUUUCACAUAUCUCUUUUUGCAGAGCCUCAUCUACAAGACGGCUCAAACUGGGUGACCUGGUAGAUAAGAUUUAUCAUACCCUUUGAUAUCGUUAUAGCAUGUAUGAAUAUCAAAUACUUAAAUGUUUUAAACAUAUAUAGUUUUCUAUCAUAUUCAUUUAAAUUUAUAAAUAUCAUUUCACAUUAAUUACCUUCUUUUUAAGCAAGCAUAUUAUAGCACUUAAAGUUAUCAUUUAUCUAAUGAAAAUCUAGUUUUAUUAUCGGUAGUGAGUACCAAGGUAUAGCAUUAAGUUGUUGAGAAUCCAAAUUUGCGACCCAGUUUUUACCUCUCCAGCUGGAACUGCUUUAUUUACUUCACUAAAAGCUCUCUACAGUGCUAAUAUCUCAUGCCACAUGAAGAAAUUAGUAGCAUUCCUCAAUAAGCUAUGUUUCUUCUUUGGUUACAGCACUUGCUAUAUUCUUCACAUACCUCUAAAUCAUACUGGAUUCAGGCUCAUCUUACUCACAUAUAUACCAAUCUAUCUUUCUAUAAAAUGUAUCUUAACAAAAUGCCAGUGUCUCCAUAAUAUAUCUACCUUCACACAUUUAAUGUCUAUGUGAAUGAAUAAGUGAAAAGGCACAUUCUCUGGAUGCUAACUUCACUUACUUUUAUCUGAAGUUGACUCCAAAGUGGGUGAAAUCCCUAUUUUAGUCAACUACAUAGGAGUAGCACUGGAAUUUAAGGUGAAUAUUAUUAUUAAUAUGCAAAGGUAAGUUCACACUAACAGAGCAUUAUCUUGGAGUUGUAAGGUUCCAAUUCUGUUGUGUUUCUUCUCAGUCAUCAUUCUCAGAAUUCUCUUGAAACAUUUAAAGAACUUUUAGUUAAAUAAAUACAAAGUAAUGGUACCAACAUACAUAAUGUCAUAAUUGAAUGUUCAACUGAUUUUGAUACAUUAAUCAGUUUUCUUUCAACAGUGUAUUAACUUCAACAUUUAACUUCUAUGUUUUAACAUUUGAAGCAUUGUCAAAAAUCCACAAAAAUAAAUUGAAAUUUUUAAACAAUCAUGAGAAGUGAAAAAUGUAUUAAAGAAUUAGAAUACUCUUUUUAAAUGUUUAAAUUUGUUAAUUUUUACCAUUGUUGUUAUGGUUGUUUAUGCUGAUAUUUCAACAAGUGUUAUUGUAUUUUCACAGGAAAGGUUUAACCUAACAUUUUGCUGCCUCAGAUUGCCACAGAUGCUGUCAAGAUGCAGAAAGAGAUGUUUAUGAAACCUUGUUCUCGUGACAGACAGUAAACUGAUGUGCAGUGUCUGUAGUAUUUACUUGUGAUAUUUUAGCCAAUAAGACACUGUCUGCAACACCAGCUAAUGAAUGACAUAACUCAACUGUCACAAUGAAAAGGUUUAAAAAAAAUUGCUAAUGAAAAAAGAAAAUUAGAAAACAAACAAAAACUAAAGAAUAUGAGAAAUUGAGUGCUUCCCCCACAGCAAAAGAAUUAAGUAUGGAUUCACAAGUGUACGUGCAAAAGUGAAGCUUAGUGUCAGUAAUCUGGCAAUAUUUCAUGGAGUCUAUGAUUCUUGCCAAAAAGGAAUUCUCUUGAUUUUGUGAAGGGCACCUGUUUGUAAGUAGAUCAUAUUUGACUGAGAAGAGCAAAGGGAAAAAGAAUGAACGAAUAAUCAUAAAAAUUUCCCUCUGAGGACCACCCGUUAAUCUUGCAAAAACAAAAAAAAAAGUAUAAAAGAAAAUUUGUUUACAGUAGUUUUUAGAUAUGAAGAUAUUUUGCCUUUGAGUUUUCCUUUUUUUUUAAUCUUUAUUUAUAGUACAACAAAGUUUAUCGACAACCUUGGGUUUAAUAGCAUCGGGCAGGGUAAGAAGUGAUUUUGUAAAUGCCUUCAGGAAGGAGAAUUUUUUUUUUUUUUGAAAAUCAUGAUAAGAACACUCCGACUAUUAGAGGUCUAAGGUAAAACAGUGAAAGGCAACUUUUACUUAAAUUUUACAACAUACCAGCAAUGUCCAGAUUAUUCUUUAUCAUUUUAUUUUGCUUCAUUUUACAUUGAUUAUAG
rnacentral:lncRNA from 1 species